AAAAAAAAGACAAAAAAAAACAAACAAACAAAAAAAAAAUAAUUAAGACUGUUGAGAAAUACUGUAUGAGGUUAGCAUUGUGUUGCCAAAAGGACAUUUGUGGCUAAACUGCUAUUUGCAAAAAGGACAGUAAUUGUCAUUGUCAGUUUACAGCAAUUACCUUCACUUUGUGGUGGAUUGUUUGUUCCAAUUGUAGGUGAAUUCUUCUCUCUCUUAAUAUUUACCUUUGUGGACCAUUUGUCAUCAUCCUACCAUCAAAAAGAUGCAACAGCGUAUUGUCUGCAAUUACAGUGUUUACAAACAAAUCAGUAACUAGCCGUGCUGGUAUGGGUAAAUCUAAAAAACGAAGAGCUCUAUAAACCAAGAUCAGACUACCAGGUGCCUUCUCCCUUGAAAUUUAGUGUUUUACAAUUCAGUCUACAUAGGAGGUAGACGGAAAUGGAAUUAGAACAUCUCAUUGCCCUAAGUCCUACAUUAUAGGUAUCUGAUCAUUACUAUCAUGUCACAAAAAUGGGCUUCUUGUUCUAUCAGGGGCUACGAUAAAUCCCUUAAAUAACUGUCUUAGCAUAGCUCUCUGGAGUCCUCAAAUCUCUUUCAGCAGAUUCUGCCAAUUUGGAGUGAGAUUGUCGUGUACCUUUGCAAUUACUCUGCAUGUUCUUGAACUGUCAUUGCUUUAGUACUUUACAUAGAUUCCAAAAAGUUCGAAUUACACCCACCACGAUGAUAAUUUUGCUCUUAGCAGUAACAAAGAUGGUCUGUGUGAUAUUUAUCAGGUCGUUCUUGGCAAAUGUUACGUUGUCUUGUCUUUGCACUCUGAAAGCAGGCAGUUCCUUGCUUUCUAAGGAAAGACCAAAUUGGAUUUGUGAUAUCAACAUGGGCGAUGAAGAGGAAGUCAAUAGGAAACGCAGCUCUUCCGAUCAUCCUGGGAGGUCCCUGCGUCGAGUCACACUCAUCUUCCGUCUUGUCAAUCCGUUACUUGUUUUCAGAAUUCUUUGAGUUAUAGCCACUGUUCCUUAGAAAUGAUUUGAAGAGAAAACUGUUGUCCCGCAGCUGGCAGCAGAAAUCACUGGCAUGAGUCUCUUGUUUGGGGAUAAUAAUAAUACGGGAAGGGGAGGGAUGGCACAUUCAGGCUUGCCAGCGUUUGGAGUACAUGUAGAAAGGAUAGCGGCAGGGCCAUUGAACUCUUUUGAAAUUCACUGGAUCAAGAAGCUUUUCACAAGUGGGGAAAUAGGAAAGUGGUGAGUGUUAUGCUAAAAAUGAGUGCCUAUUCUGUAAACAGAGUUGGCAAGGGUAGGAGGUGAGUCCCACCCACAGUUUUUUAAAAGUUGAGCAGUUCCGCCUAGUUGAUGAUGAGUCAUCUGAGAUGUGUCUGAUAAGCAGUUCCAAGAAGUCGAUUCUUGUGGCCUCAGAGACGUAGGAGUGCGGGGUGUAUGUGUGUGUGUGUGAGCACGAAUGUACAGGAAUAUGUAUACUGAGUUCACUUAGUCCUGCCUGUGUUGAGUUACCUCUGCUGCUACCCAAGGACGAUAGUGUGGCCUCCAUUUAGGAGCCCUGAGUUUUUAUUAGUCUGCAAGAGGCAAGUUAACUAUCUCUGGUUUAACAGUACUAUUCAUGGCCAAGAUGCGUAGAAUGUCUUUUCUGUGUUCUCUUCUGGGUUCCCGAAGGUCAAGGGCCUAUCUGUGCAGUAGGUCCGUAUAGUCCAGAACUUUAGAUUUUCAAGAUUAGCUUGAACUUUUAUUGCUCACAGAGUGGUAGUUGGUUUAGCAGAUUGGAAAAGUGCCCUUAUGUAGGCCAGUUUGUUGUGCUUUGUUCUGUGACCACAGGCUUCACCUUCCUUCAAGCACGCGGUGUCAGUGAUCUACAUCAGUAUCAGGGAUGGCAAACAACAGCCUACAGACCGAAGCCACCGCAGCCUUUGUAUGGCUUGCUAGCUGAGAAUCACUUUUACUUUUUAGAAAAAUUUAUUUUAUUGACGUACAGUUGAUUUACAACAUCGUGUUAAUUUCUGCUGUACCGAAAGUGAUCUGGUUACACACACACAAACACACAUUCUUUUGGAUAUAGCUCCCUGUGCUUUAACCAGGACCUUGUUGUCUAUCCGUUGUAUAUGUAAUUGUUCACAGCUGCUAACCUCAAACUCCUAAUCCACCCCUUUCCCACCCCUCCUCUCCCUUGGCAAUCACCAGUCUGUUCUCGAUGUCUGUGAGUCUGUUUCAUAGUAAGUUCAUUUUAUCAUAUUUUAGAUUCCACAUAUAAGUGGUUUCAUAUGAUAUUCUCUGUCUGACUUAUGCCAAUCAGUAUUAUCGUCUCUAGGUCCAUCCAUGUUGCUGCAAAUGGCAUUAUUUCAUUCUUUUUUAUGGCUGUGUAGUAUUCCAUUGUAAAGGAUUGAAAAAGGAAGAUAGUUCUAAGGUAUCCAUUGUUUCAUGGAAUCUUAAUAACAGUUCCAUUUGUCAUCCCCAUUCUACAGAUAAAGAAGCUAAGAUUCACUGAGCCUAAGUAACUUGCCCAGGAUGAUAAUCAAUUGGCCGUAGGAUAGGGGAAGGGAGCGGGGGGUGUAGUCCUCUUAACUCUCCCGUCUCUCCUUAAAUGUGCAUUAUUACCAUGGAAACAGAGUUGUGAAUGGAGCCAUCAUUCCUACAGGAAUGGAAGUCCAAAAUGCCCAUCAGGUACAACACAUUCCUUGCCUUAGGGGUGUAUGGAAUUCUUCUGUCCUCAGGAGUUACAUUUUUAGAGUAUGAUAAAGGGGACAUUUUUUUUGAAGGUAAGAAUCUAGAUUUGAGGAGAAGGGAAGCCAGGUGUCCUCGUGGAAUGGAAGAAGAGGAAGGAAGCCUAGUCUAGUGUUAUAAAUGGAGCACCCACAAAACCCACAGCCCUCUACCAGCGACAGUAGGCAAAAACAGGAAGUGGUGGUGGCACAUGGCUUGCUUUCUUACUGGUACCAACUUCCUUAUUUAAAUGCAGACCUCCUCCCAACUUUAUUAACUUCUUAAAGCAUCAACCAAACUGAUCAAUUUUCUUUCUUUCUGCAUACACUUCUUCCUCCUUAGAAUUAUAGUAGAUUUUAUUUGAUUUGGUCCUCAGCAGUGCAUAUUCCUUUCUCUGGACAAAACAAAAUACCUAACCAACAGUGAGGCUAGUGUAAGAGAAGCUUUGCACCAAAGAAGCUAGAUUUACCUACAAGAAAGAAACAGAGUUGUACAAAUAACUGAUCCUCACCUAUUCCUCGCCCAGCCUUUAAAAACCAUCUCUUUCAUUCUCCUGUUCAAUUUGUAAAUAUUACAAAUAAUCACAUGUUACCAGGUCCUAGCAUGCUGGUCAUUUGAGCCUCAGAAUGUUGAAAUUGAAUCAGAAUUUAGUGACUAAAAAGUCCACUUUGGGGACUGAGUAAUUAGAUGAUGUUUCUGCUCCUGUCUGUAAGUAUUUUGUAAGCUCCUUAAACGAAAUAGGGACGAUACUAAUGAGAUUGGGGCCUUAACAGAUGCACCCCCCCCACACAUGCACACACACAAAGAUUUGGAAUAGUAAUACUAUCAUUUGAAAAGUUACUUACAUUUUGCAUUUUAAUGCUUUUUAACGGAGUGGAUUUUAUUACACUUCUAGUUGUACAACGGUCAUCACAACCCAAUUUUACAGCAUUCCCACCCCAAACCCCUGCCCAUCCCUCCCCCUGCAACCUGUCUCCUUUGGACACCAUAAGUUUUGCAGAGUCUGUGAGUCAGUAUCUGUUCUGCUAAGAAGUUCUCUGUAUCCCUUUUUUAGAUUCCACAUAUAAGGGACCUUUUAAUAGUUUUUAUUGUAAAAGUAAGAUAAUCAUUAAAGACCAUUGUGAAAAUGCAUAAAAUAAAGUAAAAAGAGGAGUUCCCACUGUGGCGCAGUGGGUUAAGGAUCCAGCAUUGCCACAGCUGUGGUGUAGGUUGCAGCUGUGGCUCGGAUUCAGUCCCUGGCCCAAGAACUUGCAUAUGCCUUGGGUACAGUCAAAGAAAGUGUAUAAAUAAAGUAUAAAGAAAUCACCCAGCAUCUUGCUGUCAAAAACAAGCUCUGUUAAGAUUUUGAUGUGUUUUACUCGAAGUUUUUUGGUUCUCUGCUUGGGUCUUGCUUUUGACACUGUCAUCAGAUGUGGACAUCUGAUUUUGGAAGAUGACAGUGCAUUGUGGCUAAGGACUUUGGAGUCAGAUUAGCAGGGUUUGAGAGCUCUGAUGCCAGCUUUGUGAUGUUGGACAAAAUACUCAGCCUUGCUGUACUUCAGUUUCCUUAUUUGUAAGAUAGGUAGCAACAGCGCUACUCAUAAGUGAAAUAUUGUAGAAAGUGCUCGCUGUGGGCCUGACAUAGUGAAUGUCCCUAAAUUUCUUAGUGGUGAUGAUGAAGAAAGUGUUUUGUUAGUUACAUUGAGUUCUCACUGAAGUAAAGAAAAGCUCUAGGAAGUGCAUUUAAAUGGAAAAGAUAAUUUUGAAUUUGUCAAAAUAUUUAAAAUUUUCACAUGAAUUAGAGAGUCAGAACAGCUCGUCCCUCUUUCCUCCUUUUCAGGCGUGUCUUCUCCCAUCUAAGCGUUCAUUAAAUAAACUUGCUCUGUGUCCCCUUUCGUCUCCACUUUAAGCCUCUCCCACUGGCAUCGCUUCCCAGGCUAGGAACCAGGCUGCACCACCCCUCUGCACUUACUGUCCAAACAGCCUGCUUCCGACCACCUCCUGCUCUCCUUCCCUCCAGAGACUCCCACUGUGUCCCUCUCAUCCUUGCAUGUCACUGAGGACCUCUGGGCUCUGCUUCCUUCCCUGUCCCACUGAGAGGUCAUGGUCCUUCACUCACGCCCCUUUCUUUCCCGCCCCUGAAGUUCUCUCCGUCCUGAAGCUGAGCUCGCUCACCAUGCAGACGGAUGACACUUUCAAUCCAUCCUCAUCCAGCCCUUCCUUCAUCCCCGGCUGGCACUCUCCUCUCUUCAGCAGUGUUUUAAAAUCUUUAUUCACUUCCUAGAGAUGUUUCUCAUAAGUAAGAAGAGUCGGGAGUGGAAUGGAGGGCGGGGAGAGUUAGGGGGGAGGUAAGAGUGUGUGAAAAACUGGAGGAGGAAAGUGCAGGGGGAGGAGACAGCCUGGAAAUGUGGGCGCAAGCUGUUGGUGGGGGCAGACAGGGGAGGGAGAGGUUAGCACACAGGGCUGGAGAAAGAGGAUUGGCAAGAAGACAGUAUGCUUCCUACCGUUUGUCCAAGUCCCUUGUCCUGGAGGGUUCCAUUUUCUUGUAAACAUUCUGCCUCGACCAGCAUCUACGUCCUUGAGCUGGGGAGUGAGGGGCUGUGGCUUGGUGGGAGAGGAUGUUAGGUAAAAGCAGCACAGGCAAUAAAAGACUGUUUUUCCCCCAGUGAGGGAGUUUAUAUGCAUUAUUCUGAUCAGGAGGGUGGUACAAAUUUUAUACUUCUAACCAGGUGUAGAAAAGGAAGAAUUAUACAAGGCAGUGAGCCUCAGGCGCCAUUUGGAAGGGACAACGUGGCAGGGUGGGAGAGGGAUGUGGAAUUGAAAGUAAUUUAAAUAUAUAUAUCCUGGCGAAGCAAGUAAUCCCCUUAGGAAGUCGACCAAAGGAAGCAGGCAAGACUUGCUUUCAUACCGAGAGUGAUGAUGCUUCAGCGGUAAACGCUUCCCUUCAGCGCCUUCUCACCCGAACAGCAGGGGAGUCUGUGUCAGGUAGUCACGCUGAUCACCUGCAGACGGGGUGCCAGGUGAUGCAGUGCCACUAGUCCCAGCAAUCACGAGAAACAGAAACACUGAAUGGAUAUGCCAGGGGGCCAGAGCUCCUGGCUUUCAACCCAUCAGCUCUAAGCGCAGCCCAUGAACCAGCAGCGUCAGCAUUCCCUGGGGGCUUGUGAGAGAUGUAGGGUCUCAGGUCCCAGCUCACACUGGCUGAAUUAGAAUCUUUAUUUAACAAGAUCCCGAGGAGAUGCAUACACACACGUUGAAGCUUGAGAACAGCUGCUUUAAACGCCGGCAGUGGAGCAGACAGGAGAGGCAUGCUGCGAGGGUGGGUAAGGGUUCCUGCUUUUUUGAGGGGAGUGAGUCCUAGAAGAGUGGAAAGCACUCACCUGCGUGGCAGCUUGAACACCUCCUUCCGAGCUAUUUCUGGGGCCACAGCAGUGACGCUGCUUCAUCUUCACCUCUUUCAGGGGCUCUGACGCUCGGCUGGAACAUGUCACAUGAUUUCUUGUCAUAUAGCUGGGCUAUAUGACUCGUCUCCCUUAAAGUGCUGUGGGGUUAGGUUUUUUCUUUUUUUGGAAGCAUUUUAUAAUUUAUAAAAUUACGAAUAAUAAUUUAUAAAGUUAUGAAUAAAUAAUAAAAUCCUCCAAUUUAGAGAUAGGAUUUGAUGAGCUUAUCCAAAUUGAGUGGUAAAAUCACUACCACAACCGUGAUAUAAAACACUUCAAAAUCACCUUAAGCGGGUCGUUUCAUUUAUUGUCACAGCUCUCCAUUUCAUUCAUACCUUGAAAAUGAAAUUUAUUAUGACAUAAUCCACAUAAUCUUUGGGUAAAUUGUAGAAGAGCAAAGGACCGUAAUUACUCCUUUGAUUAUAUGCUUCAAAACAAUGACAUAAAGAAUCUUAAAUAGAUGUUUAAAUGUUGAUUGUUCAAGUAGGAGGCAAAAUUUUCCUGCAGCAAAUAGAGUAGAAAUAUCUAGGAAUAUUUAAGAAAUCAUGGAGUAUUGCCAGAGGUCUGGAAAUGGGCAAAUUUCAUCCCAGCAUCCAAAAGUGGUUAAAAAAAAAAAAAAAGUAGAUCCCAGGAGUAAUUCUAGAGCAAAUUAUUAAAUAGCUUAUUUUGUGCAAUUACUGCAGAAAAUAAUUGCUCCGUGGGGGGUGAAUACAGUUUUCCUAAUAGUCAAGCUAAACUAACCUCAUCUUUUGAGAUAAGAGUGAACUAGUAGGUCACAGAACUUGCUUAGGCAGCAUGUACCUUGAUUUUAGCAAGAUAUUUGGCAGAGUCUCAUAUGACUUAAGAAUGAGAGCCUAAUCUUUGUAAAUUUGCUUAUUCUUGGUUAAGAGUCUGCUGCAUGCUGUGUUUAGUAUUUCAUGUAAAUAGGUAAAUAGGAUGGGCCAUGACUGUGAGUUAAACAGUCAUGGCUUGUCCUCGAGUCUGGUGAUGGAGAAACAUAAUAAAACAAUAGAGUAAAAACAUUGCUCUGGCUGCUGGAUGGAGGAUGGAUCAGAGGGGGCAAGAAAAGGGAGACAGGCAGAGACUAUCAUAGGUGCCCAGAAGUUAAAGAUGAUAGUGACUUGGGUUAGAGCAGUGGCCGUGGAGAUGGGAAAAAAUAAAUGUAUAGAUUUGGGAUAUGUUGGGGAGGCAGAGAUGAUAGGACACCUGCCAGUGAAUUAGAUACGAGGCUGAGAGAGUAGAUGAGAGGUCAAGGGUGUCUGACUUCCAGGCGUCUGACCAGAGCAGUUGGCUGGAUGAGGGGCCGUUUUCCAGAUGGUCUUAUUCCAUUCAGUUAGAACCAGUGCCCUAGAUGAAGGCAGAUUCCAGACAGGAAGCUGGAUGAGGUAGUUGACACAUAAGUAAAAAGGAUGAACAAAUUUAAAGAUAUCUCAAGACUAGAAAGGUAAAAUGGAAUGAAAAUUGCAGAACUUUGCACUUGGCUUUAAAAAAAAGUACACAGGGAGUUCCUGUAGUGGCUCAGUGGAAACAAAGCCAACUAGUAACCAUGAGGUUGCAGGUUCGAUCUCUGGCUUCGUUCAGUGGGUUAAGGACCCAGAGUUGUUGUGUGCUGUGGUGCAGGUCUCAGAUGUGGCUUGGAUCUUGAGUUGCUGUGGCUGUGGCCGGCAGCUGUAGCUCCAACUGGACCCCUAGCCUGGGAACUUCCAUAUGCCACAGGUGCAGCCCUAAAAAGCAAAAAAUAAAAAAAAAUUAAAAAGGAGACAGGAUAAGAGUUCUUAUCAUGGCUCAGCGAGUUAAGAACCUGACUAGGGAGUUCCCGUCGUGGUGCAGUGGUUAACGAAUCCGACUAGGAACCAUGAGGUUGCGGGUUCGGUCCCUGCCCUUGCUCAGUGGGUUAAGGAUCCGGCGUUGCUGUGAGCCCUGGUGUAGGUUGCAGACGCGCGGCUCGGACCCCGCAUUGCUGUGGCUCUGGUGUAGGCUGGCAGCUAAGCUCUGAUUCGAUUCGACCCCUAGCCUGGGAACCUCCAUAUGCCACGGGGGCAGCCCAAGAAAUAGCAAAAAGACAAAAAAAAAAAAAAAAAAA
rnacentral:lncRNA from 9 species